UCCCCAGUGGCUCGGUGGUAAAGAGUCUGCCUGCAAUGCAGGAGACACAGGGGACGCAGGUUCGAUCCCUGCAUUAGGAA
rnacentral:tRNA from 1 species